CCUACGGGAGGCAGCAGUGGGGAAUCUUGCGCAAUGGGCGAAAGCCUGACGCAGCCAUGCCGCGUGAAUGAUGAAGGUCUUAGGAUUGUAAAAUUCUUUCACCGAGGACGAUAAUGACGGUACUCGGAGAAGAAGCCCCGGCUAACUUCGUGCCAGCAGCCGCGGUAAUACGAAGGGGGCUAGCGUUGCUCGGAAUUACUGGGCGUAAAGGGAGCGUAGGCGGAUAGUUUAGUCAGAGGUGAAAGCCCAGGGCUCAACCUUGGAAUUGCCUUUGAUACUGGCUAUCUUGAGUACGGAAGAGGUAUGUGGAACUCCGAGUGUAGAGGUGAAAUUCGUAGAUAUUCGGAAGAACACCAGUGGCGAAGGCGACAUACUGGUCCGUUACUGACGCUGAGGCUCGAAAGCGUGGGGAGCAAACAGGAUUAGAUACCCUGGUAGUCCACGCUGUAAACGAUGAGUGCUAGUUGUCGGCAUGCAUGCAUGUCGGUGACGCAGCUACGACAUAAGACACUCCGCCGUGGGAGGUACGGUCGCGAAGAAGUUAAAACGUUAAAAGGUAAAGUUAGACGGACGUGAGACGUAGCCGACGACGACGACGAGGGAGGAGG
rnacentral:rRNA from 1 species